UACGGAGGGUGCGAGCGUUUUCCGGAAUCACUGGGCGUAAAGGGCGCGUAGGCGGUCGCUUAAGUCACUUGUGAAAUCCCGGGGCUCAACUCCGGGGCUGCAGGUGAUACUGGGUGGCUAGAGCUCGGUAGAGGCGAGUGGAAUUCCCGGUGUAGCGGUGGAAUGCGUAGAUAUCGGGAAGAACACCAGUGGCGAAGGCGGCUCGCUGGGCCGAUGCUGACGCUGAGGCGCGAAAGCGUGGGGAGCAAACAGG
rnacentral:rRNA from 1 species